rnacentral:rRNA from 1 species
AGCAGCCGCGGUAAUUCCAGCUCCAAUAGCGUAUAUUAAAGUUGUUGCAGUUAAAAAGCUCGUAGUUGAAUUUCGGGAUCAAUAUAUUGGUCGUGCCUCCGGUACGUACUGGUAUCGUUGAUUUCUACCUUCUGACGAACUAUGAUGUCAUUAAUUUGGUGUCAUGGGAAAUCAGGACUGUUACUUUGAAAAAAAUUAGAGUGUUUAAAGCAGGCACACGCUUGAAUACAUUAGCAUGGAAUAAUGAAAUAGGACGUUUGACCCUAUUUUGUUGGUUUCUAGGAUCGACGUAAUGAUUAAUAGGGAUAGUUGGGGGCAUUAGUAUUCAAUUGUCAGAGGUGAAAUUCUUGGAUUUAUUGAAGACUAACUACUGCGAAAGCAUUUGCCAAGGAUGUUUUCAUUAAUCAAGAACGAAAGUUAGGGGAUCGAAGACGAUCAGAUACCGUCGUAGUCUUAACCAUAAACUAUGCCGACUAGGGAUCGGAUGAUGUUAAUUUUUAAUGUACUCAUUCGGCGUCCG